rnacentral:rRNA from 1 species
AACGAACGCUGGCGGCAUGCCUAACACAUGCAAGUCGAACGAGACCUUCGGGUCUAGUUGCGCACGGGUGCGUCACGCGUGGGAACCUGCCCUUAGGUUCGGAAUACCUCCCCGAAAUGGGUGCUAAUACCGGAUAAUGUCUUCGGACCAAACAUUUAUCCCCCUUGGAUGGGCCCGCGUUGGAUUAGCUUGUUGGUAUGGUAAAAGCCUACCAAGGCGACGAUCCAUAGCUGGUCUGAGAGGAUGAGCAGCCACACUGGGACUGAGACACGGCCCAGACUACUACGGGAGGCAGCAGUGGGGAAUAUUGGACAAUGGGCGAAAUCCUGAACGAGCAAUGCCGGGUGAGUGAUGAAGGCGGUAGGGUUGUGAAGCUGUUUUACCCGGGAUGAUAAUGACAGUACCGGGAGAAUAAGCUCCGGCUAACUUCGUG